rnacentral:rRNA from 1 species
UGGGGAAUAUUGCACAAUGGGCGCAAGCCUGAUGCAGCCAUGCCGCGUGUAUGAAGAAGGCCUUCGGGUUGUAAAGUACUUUCAGUCGGGAGGAAGGUGGUAAGGUUAAUAACCUUAUCAAUUGACGUUACCGACAGAAGAAGCACCGGCUAACUCCGUGCCAGCAGCCGCGGUAAUACGGAGGGUGCAAGCGUUAAUCGGAAUUACUGGGCGUAAAGCGCACGCAGGCGGUUUGUUAAGUCAGAUGUGAAAUCCCCGGGCUUAACCCGGGAAUUGCAUCUGAUACUGGUCAGCUAGAGUCUUGUAGAGGGGGGUAGAAUUCCAUGUGUAGCGGUGAAAUGCGUAGAGAUGUGGAGGAGUACCGGUGGCGAAGGCGGCCCCCUGGACAAAGACUGACGCUCAGGUGCGAAAGCGUGGGGAGCAAACAGG